AUCACCCACAACAAACCACACACAUUUAUGUAUAUGUAUCUCUCUCUCUCUCUCUGUCUUCUUUGUGUUAUCGUUAUGUUUAGAUACAGUUUUUAUUUUAUUUUAAAAAAUUUUUGGGGUUAAAUUAUGUAGUUUUAGUGUUGAUUUGAUGUGGGUUUUUGUUCUGCUUUAUCAAUUUACACACACACACACACACACAUAUUUAUCUCUCUCUCUCUCUCUCUCUCUAUGAUAUGGUUAGAUAUUUGGUUAAAUUAUUUAGUUUAUGAGUGUUGAUUUGAUGUGAGUUUUUGUUCUGCUUUAUCAUGAUAUUUUUAGAAUUACUUUUGGUUAAAUUAUGUAGUUGUGAGUGUUGUUGAUUUGAUGUGGGUUUUUGUUCUGCUUUAUCAUGAUAUGUUUAGAUUUACUUUUGGUUAAAUUAUGUAGUUGUGAGUGUUGAUUUGAUUUGGGUUUUUGUUCUGCUUGAUCAAUUUUUGGCGUGGAAUUAUGAUCAUGGGUUUUGAUGGAAAUUUGGUCAAUUUAUUGAUUGAAAUUGCAGGUGUAUAAGAUUUGAUGCUUCACCAACAAAAGCAAAUUAGAGCUAUAAUUUUUUUUAUCUUACCUGUGUGGAAAGGGAGUUGUGCCCCAGAGGAGAUCUUAAUUGUUUUUAUUUUUUUAUUUUUAAGAGUAAAUGGAUGCAUCUUCAUUGUUGUGAGUAGUUUGGUUAGGAAUAUGAGUUGAUUGAUUGUUUCCCAAUGAACUUCCCUCACAACAGUAGAAGCAUUGAUUGUCUAUUGUUUCUUUUUGGGAAAUAGCCUUUGUUCACAUUGAGUGUAGAGCAUUACAAUUGUUGAUGUGUGGAUGAACUGGUCAAUCUGGAAAAAUCCAGGAUACCUUCUUUGGUUCAUCUUCAUGUUCUCAAUGAUGCAACUUUUGUUAAUUUUGGAAUUGUAACAAUUUCAGUAUUUGUAAUUGCCAAGAAGCUUUAGAUAUACAUGUUUGAUCUUGGUUUUUUGCUCCUAAAUGACCUUAAUAAAACUUUUGGAGAAUUCUGUUAAACCUAUUUGCGUGAGAAGCUGUGGUAAUCAAAUAUUUAUGAUGAUAUUGGAGUUGUCUUUAGUAAUGCAAGUGUGACUACUUGUUGGGGUUAUAAAUUGGAGAGAAAAGGAGAAUAAAGUUGUUAAAACAUCUUUACUUUAUGAAAAACUACUAAAAUUUUCUUCCAGUUACCAAUUAGCCUGACUACAGUAUCUGUUUCAAGAUUGUCUGCACCAUCCAAAAUUUAUCCCAGGAAUUUGCCAACAUUAGGAACUGUGGCUAGUGGGUCAUUUGUUUAUAUUUAUACUAGUAUAAAGGGAGAACACCCAUUUGGUAUUUCAUUUGUUUUGAAAUGAAGUGAAUUUUUCAAUUUUCUCAAAAAACCAAUUACUUCAAUUAAAUUACUUUGAAGCUGAGAUAUAGAUACAAGAUAUGGGUACAACAUGAUAUUGAUACGACAAUAUACUAGGGAUACAUACAUACAUACACUAUGUAAGUAUAGAUAUAAUUUGAAAUGUAAUUUUUUUCAUAACAUAGUUGUAACAAACUAUUUGUCUUUAUUUAUCUACCAAAUAUUGUAAUUUCAGACUAAUAAAAAAAUUGUAUUCACACAAAAAAUUAAGGUUAUAUUUAGUCCACACAAAAUUUAACCAAAUUUGACGUGCUUUGAUGUCAUUACUUUCCAAUUCUUCUUCUGUGAGGAGUAUGCAAAAUAUUUGAAACUAUUCUUGUAUAUUUGUAACAUAUAUACUCUAAUGGUGGUAUACAAGAAAUGACCUAUUUCAAUUUGAAGACAGGUUGGAACUUGAAUGCCUGACCUAGAGUGUCCAAUACUUCUUCAAAAUUUUGAAUAUGAAUUUUAAAUUAUGAAUACGUUUAGGACGUAUCAUAUACUCAUCAACGAGCAUCUGAGGAGUAUGAGUAUCAAUAUUCAACACAGAUACGAGUAUGGCUCCUCUCUAGAGACGUAUCCAUGUUUUGUAGAUCAAUUAUUUUGGAUUAAUUCUUCUGUAAGGGGCUUUAUAGGGAUUCUUUUAAUCUUAUAAUGUGAACUAAAACUUCUUGUUUUGCUGUAAUUUGUUAAUAGAGAGAAGUACGAAAUUGGUUAACUGAUUGGUGGGGGAGAGAGUGAUAAA